rnacentral:tRNA from 2 species
GGGUCGUUAGCUCAGUUGGUAGAGCAGUUGACUUUUAAUCAAUUGGUCGCAGGUUCGAAUCCUGCACGACCCCCCA